AUGCGGUAUGACGGUACCCUUUCGAAUAAGAGGUUGCUAACUCUGUGCCAGCAGCAGCAGUAAUACAGAGACCUCGAGCGUUAUCCGGAUUUACUGGGCGUAAAGCGUCUGUAGGGGGUUUGUUAAGUUCCAAGUAAAAUCUUAAGGCUCAACUUUAAGUUCGCUUGGAAAACUAAUAAACUGGAGUCCAGCAGAGGUGCAUGGAACUUGCGGUGUAGGAGUGAAAUCCGUUGAUAUCGCAAGGAACACCAAAGGCGAAGGCAUUGCACUGGGCUGGUACUGACCCUGAGAGACGAAAGCGUGGGGAGCAAAACGGAUUAGAUACCCGUGUAGUCCACGCCGUAAACGAUGGAUACUAGAUGUUCGGGGAUUCGACCCCCUGGGUGUCACAGCUAACGCGUUAAGUAUCCCGCCUGGGAAGUACGGCCGCAAGGCUAAAACUCAAAGGAAUAGACGGGGAUCCGCACAAGCGGUGGAGCGUCUGGUUUAAUUUGAUAGUAAGCAAUGGACCUCACCAAGGUUUGACAUCCUAUGACAACCCUGGAAACAGGGCUUCCUUCGGGCAUAGUGACAGGUGCUGCAUGGUCGUCGUCAGUUCGUGCCGUGAGGUGUUCCGUUAAGUCGGGAAACGAACGAAACCCUCGUCGCAUGUUACAAAUUUCAUGCGAGACUGCCCGGGUCAACCGGGAGGAAGGCGGGGAUGACGUCAGAUCAGCAUGGCCCUUAUACCUUGGGCUACACAGGCGCUACAAUGGCCGGUACAAAGGGUUGCAAAACCGCGAGGUGAAGCUAAUCCCAUAAAGCCGGUCCAAGUUCGGAUUGGAGGCUGCAACUCGCCUCCAUGAAGUUGGAAUCGCUAGUAAUCGUGGAUCAGCCAUACCACGGUGAUACGUUCCCGGAUCUUGUACUCACCGCCCGUCACACCAAGAGAGUUGGUAGCUCCUGAAGC
rnacentral:rRNA from 1 species